GCCCUCAUCGUCUAGAGGCCUAGGACACUUCCCUUUCACGGAGGUAACAGGGAUUCGAAUUCCCUUGAGGGUA
rnacentral:tRNA from 1 species